rnacentral:rRNA from 1 species
CAGCAGCCACGGUAACACGGAGGGAGCUAGCGUUAUUCGGAAUUACUGGGCGUAAAGCGCACGUAGGCGGCUUUGUAAGUUAGAGGUGAAAGCCUGGAGCUCAACUCCAGAAUUGCCUUUAAGACUGCAUCGCUCGAGUCCAGGAGAGGUGAGUGGAAUUCCGAGUGUAGAGGUGAAAUUCGUAGAUAUUCGGAAGAACACCAGUGGCGAAGGCGGCUCACUGGACUGGUAUUGACGCUGAGGUGCGAAAGCGUGGGGAGCAAACAGGAUUAGAUACCCCCGUAGUCCCUGUCUCUUAUAA